GAGUUUGAUCAUGGCUCAGGACGAACGCUGGCGGCAUGCCUAACACAUGCAAGUCUAGGGGUAGCAAUACCACUGGCGCACGGGUGAGUAACACGUAGGUUAUCUGCCCCCAUCACAGACAUAACCCCGGGAAACCGGGGCUAAUAUCUGAUGAGGUCGCGAGAUCAAAGCUUCGGCGGAUGGGGAUGAGCCUGCGGCUGAUUAGCUAGUUGGUGAGGUAAUGGCUCACCAAGGCGACGAUCAGUAGCUGGUCUGAGAGGAUGAACAGCCACACUGGAACUGAGACACGGUCCAGACUCCUACGGGAGGCAGCAGUGAGGAAUAUUGGUCAAUGGGAGCAAUCCUGAACCAGCAAUGCCGCGUGUGGGAUGACAGGGCUUCGCCUUGUAAACCACUGUCGGACGGGACGAAAGGAGGCCUCGGGCCUCUGGGACGGUACCGUCAAAGGAAGGGUCGGCUAACUACGUG
rnacentral:rRNA from 1 species